rnacentral:rRNA from 1 species
AGCAGCCGCGGUAAUUCCAGCUCCGAUAGCGUAUAUUAAAGUUGUUGCAGUUAAAAAGCUCGUAGUUGAAUUUCGGGAUCAAUAUGUCGGUCGUGCCUUCGGUACGUACUGGUAUCAUUGGUUUCUCCUUUCUGACGAACCAUGAUGUCAUUAAUUUGGUGUUAUGGGGAGUUAGGACUGUUACUUUGAAAAAUUAGAGUGUUUAAAGCAGGCUUUAGCUUGAAUACAUUAGCAUGGAAUAAUGAAAUAGGACGUUCGAACCUAUUUUGUUGGUUUCUAGGAUCAACGUAAUGAUUAAUAGGGAUAGUUGGGGGCAUUAGUAUUCAAUUGUCAGAGGUGAAAUUCUUGGAUUUAUUGAAGACUAACUACUGCGAAAGCAUUUGCCAAGGAUGUUUUCAUUAAUCAAGAACGAAAGUUAGGGGAUCGAAGACGAUCAGAUACCGUCGUAGUCUUAACCAUAAACUAUGCCGACUAGGGAUCGGAUGAUGUUAAUUUUUUAAUGUACUCAUUCGGCGCCUUA